rnacentral:rRNA from 1 species
GACGAACGCUGGCGGCGUGCUUAACACAUGCAAGUCGAACGGAAAGGCCCUGCUUUUUUGUGGUGCUCGAGUUGCGAUCGUGUGAGUAUCACGUGAGUAACCUGCCCUUUACUUUGUUAUAACUUCAGUAAACCGGUGCUAAUACCGGAUAGGAUCUCCUGCUGCUUGGUGUGGUUUGGUUAGUUUCGUCGUUUGGGGUUGGACUGGCGGCUUAUCAGCUUGUUGGUGGGGUAGUGGCUUACCAAGGCUUUGACGGGUAGCCGGCCUGAGAGGGUGACCGGAGAAAAUGGGAGUGAGAUACGGCCCAGAAGCCUACGGGAGGCAGCAGGGGGGAAUAUUGCAAAAUGGGCGGAAGCAUGAUGAAGCAAAGCAGGGUGCGGGAUGAAGGCCUUCGGGUUGUAAACAGAUUUCGAAUGUGACGAAGCGUGAGUGACGGUAAUGGGUAAAGAAGCACCGGCUAACUACGUG